GGGUUGUGAGGUUAAGCGACUAAGCGUACACGGUGGAUGCCCUGGCAGUCAGAGGCGAUGAAGGACGUGCUAAUCUGCGAAAAGCGUCGGUAAGGUGAUAUGAACCGUUAUAGCCGGCGAUGUCCGAAUGGGGAAACCCAGUGCAAUUCGUUGCACUAUCGUUAACUGAAUACAUAGGUUAACGAGGCGAACCGGGGGAACUGAAACAUCUAAGUACCCCGAGGAAAAGAAAUCAACCGAGAUUCCCCCAGUAGCGGCGAGCGAACGGGGAGCAGCCCAGAGUCUGAAUCAGCUUGUGUGUUAGUGGAACGGUCUGGAAAGUCCGACGGUACAGGGUGAUAGUCCCGUACACCAAAAUGCACAGGUUGUGAACUCGAAGAGUAGGGCGGGACACGUGGUAUCCUGUCUGAAUAUGGGGGGACCAUCCUCCAAGGCUAAAUACUCCUGACUGACCGAUAGUGAACCAGUACCGUGAGGGAAAGGCGAAAAGAACCCCGGCGAGGGGAGUGAAAAAGAACCUGAAACCGUGUACGUACAAGCAGUGGGAGCACCUUCGGGUGUGACUGCGUACCUUUUGUAUAAUGGGUCAGCGACUUAUAUUCUGUAGCAAGGUUAACCGUAUAGGGGAGCCGCAGGGAAACCGAGUCUUAACUGGGCGUUAAGUUGCAGGGUAUAGACCCGAAACCCGGUGAUCUAGCCAUGGGCAGGUUGAAGGUUGGGUAACACUAACUGGAGGACCGAACCGACUAAUGUUGAAAAAUUAGCGGAUGACUUGUGGCUGGGGGUGAAAGGCCAAUCAAACCGGGAGAUAGCUGGUUCUCCCCGAAAGCUAUUUAGGUAGCGCCUCGUGAAUUCAUCUUCGGGGGUAGAGCACUGUUUCGGCUAGGGGGUCAUCCCGACUUACCAACCCGAUGCAAACUACGAAUACCGAAGAAUGUUAUCACGGGAGACACACGGCGGGUGCUAACGUCCGUCGUGAAGAGGGAAACAACCCAGACCGCCAGCUAAGGUCCCAAAGUCAUGGUUAAGUGGGAAACGAUGUGGGAAGGCACAGACAGCCAGGAUGUUGGCUUAGAAGCAGCCAUCAUUUAAAGAAAGCGUAAUAGCUCACUGGUCGAGUCGGCCUGCGCGGAAGAUGUAACGGGGCUAAACCAUGCACCGAAGCUGCGGCAGCGACACUAUGUGUUGUUGGGUAGGGGAGCGUUCUGUAAGCCUGCGAAGGUGUGCUGUGAGGCAUGCUGGAGGUAUCAGAAGUGCGAAUGCUGACAUAAGUAACGAUAAAGCGGGUGAAAAGCCCGCUCGCCGGAAGACCAAGGGUUCCUGUCCAACGUUAAUCGGGGCAGGGUGAGUCGACCCCUAAGGCGAGGCCGAAAGGCGUAGUCGAUGGGAAACAGGUUAAUAUUCCUGUACUUGGUGUUACUGCGAAGGGGGGACGGAGAAGGCUAUGUUAGCCGGGCGACGGUUGUCCCGGUUUAAGCAUGUAGGCUGGUUGUCCAGGCAAAUCCGGAUAAUCAAGGCUGAGGUGUGAUGACGAGGCACUACGGUGCUGAAGUAACAAAUGCCCUGCUUCCAGGAAAAGCCUCUAAGCAUCAGGUAACAUCAAAUCGUACCCCAAACCGACACAGGUGGUCAGGUAGAGAAUACCAAGGCGCUUGAGAGAACUCGGGUGAAGGAACUAGGCAAAAUGGUGCCGUAACUUCGGGAGAAGGCACGCUGGUGUGUAGGUGAAGUCCCUGCGGAUGGAGCUGAGACCAGUCGAAGAUACCAGCUGGCUGCAACUGUUUAUUAAAAACACAGCACUGUGCAAACACGAAAGUGGACGUAUACGGUGUGACGCCUGCCCGGUGCCGGAAGGUUAAUUGAUGGGGUUAUCCGUAAGGAGAAGCUCUUGAUCGAAGCCCCGGUAAACGGCGGCCGUAACUAUAACGGUCCUAAGGUAGCGAAAUUCCUUGUCGGGUAAGUUCCGACCUGCACGAAUGGCGUAAUGAUGGCCAGGCUGUCUCCACCCGAGACUCAGUGAAAUUGAACUCGCUGUGAAGAUGCAGUGUACCCGCGGCAAGACGGAAAGACCCCGUGAACCUUUACUAUAGCUUGACACUGAACAUUGAGCCUUGAUGUGUAGGAUAGGUGGGAGGCUUUGAAGCGUGGACGCCAGUCUGCGUGGAGCCAACCUUGAAAUACCACCCUUUAAUGUUUGAUGUUCUAACGUUGGCCCCUUACCGGGGUUGCGGACAGUGUCUGGUGGGUAGUUUGACUGGGGCGGUCUCCUCCCAAAGCGUAACGGAGGAGCACGAAGGUUAGCUAAUCCUGGUCGGACAUCAGGAGGUUAGUGCAAUGGCAUAAGCUAGCUUGACUGCGAGCGUGACGGCGCGAGCAGGUGCGAAAGCAGGUCAUAGUGAUCCGGUGGUUCUGAAUGGAAGGGCCAUCGCUCAACGGAUAAAAGGUACUCCGGGGAUAACAGGCUGAUACCGCCCAAGAGUUCAUAUCGACGGCGGUGUUUGGCACCUCGAUGUCGGCUCAUCACAUCCUGGGGCUGAAGUAGGUCCCAAGGGUAUGGCUGUUCGCCAUUUAAAGUGGUACGCGAGCUGGGUUUAGAACGUCGUGAGACAGUUCGGUCCCUAUCUGCCGUGGGCGCUGGAGAAUUGAGGGGGGCUGCUCCUAGUACGAGAGGACCGGAGUGGACGCAUCACUGGUGUUCGGGUUGUCAUGCCAAUGGCACUGCCCGGUAGCUAAAUGCGGAAGAGAUAAGUGCUGAAAGCAUCUAAGCACGAAACUUGCCCCGAGAUGAGUUCUCCCUGAGACUUUAAGUCUCCUGAAGGAACGUUAAAGACGAUGACGUUGAUAGGCCGGGUGUGUAAGCGCAGCGAUGCGUUGAGCUAACCGGUACUAAUGAACCGUGAGGCUUAACCUUACAACGCCGAAG
rnacentral:rRNA from 1 species